rnacentral:rRNA from 1 species
UUCCGGUUGAUCCUGCCGGACCCUACUGCUAUUGGGGUGAGAUUAAAACAUGCAAGUUGUGCGUCUGGAACUAUGGUCAGGCGCAGCGUACGGCUCAGUAACACGUGGUUAACCUACCCUUAGGACGGGGACAAACCCGGGAAACUGGGGUUAAUCCCCGAUGUUUAAGGAAACCUGGAAUGGUUCCUUAAUGAAAAGGCGUUAGAGCCAUGUUUUCCAACGUCGCCUAAGGAUGGGACCGCGCACGAUCAGGUUGUUGGUGAGGUAACGGCUCACCAAGCCUCUGACCGAUACGGGCUGUGAGAGCAGUAGCCCGGAGAUGGGCACUGAGACAAGGGCCCAGGCCCUAUGGGGCGCAGCAGUUGCGAAACCUCCGCAAUGCGCGAAAGCGUGACGGGGUUACCCCAAGUGCCGUCCGCUGAGGAUGGCUUUUCUCUGGUGUAACGAUUCGGAGGAAUAAGAGGAGGGCAAGACUGGUGUCAGCCGCCGCGGUAAUACCAGCUCCUCGAGUGGUGGGGAUAUUUAUUGGGUCUAAAGCGUCCGUAGCCGGCUUGGCAAGUCUAUCGUUAAAUCCAACAGCCUAACUGUUGGGCCGCGGUAGAUACUGCUGGGCUGGGGGGCGGGAGAGGCCGAUGGUAUUUUUGGGGUAGGGGUGAAAUCCUAUAAUCCCGAGAGGACCACCAGUGGCGAAGGCGAUCGGCUAGAACGCGCUCGACGGUCAUGGACGAAAGCUAGGGUAGCGAACCGGAUUAGAUACCCGGGUAGUCCCAGCUGUAAACGAUGCGGGCUAGUGUUGGGAGUGGUUACGAACCACUUCAGUGCCGCAGGGAAACCGUUAAGCCCGCCACCUGGGGAGUACGGCCGCAAGGCUGAAACUUAAAGGAAUUGGCGGGGGAGCACUACAAGGCGUGAAGCUUGCGUUUAAU